rnacentral:rRNA from 1 species
AUUGAACGCUGGCGGCAGGCUUAACACAUGCAAGUCGAGCGGAGCGAGGGUGCUUGCACCUUAGCUUAGCGGCGGACGGGUGAGUAAUGCUUAGGAAUCUGCCUAUUAGUGGGGGACAACAUUCCGAAAGGAAUGCUAAUACCGCAUACGCCCUACGGGGGGAAGCAGGGGAUCUUCGGACCUUGCGCUAAUAGAUGAGCCUAAGUCGGAUUAGCUAGUUGGUGGGGUAAAGGCCUACCAAGGCGACGAUCUGUAGCGGGUCUGAGAGGAUGGUCCGCCACACUGGGACUGAGACACGGCCCAGACUCCGACGGGAGGCAGCAGUGGGGAAUAUUGGACAAUGGGCGGAAGCCUGAUCCAGCCAUGCCGCGUGUGUGAAGAAGGCCUUUUGGUUGUAAAGCACUUUAAGCGAGGAGGAGGCUACUUAGAUUAAUACUCUGGGAUAGUGGACGUUACUCGCAGAAUAAGCACCGGCUAACUCUGUGCCAGCAGCCGCCGUAA